UUUUUUUUCUCGUCAUUAUUCUCUAAACAAUACAAUGGAACAACUAUUUACAUAGCAUUUACAUUGUAUUAGGUAUUAUAAAUAAUCUAGAGAUGAUUUAAAAUAUAUGGGAGGAGGGGCAUAGAUUAUAUGCAAAUACUAUGACAUUUUGUAUGGGAGACUUGAGCAUCCCAGAUUUGGGUAUCCAGGGAGCCCUGGACCCAAUCCCUCGAAUACAGAGGGACUACCGUAUUUGGGGUUUUUUCUUCAGGUUUCAACAGCACACACUGUGUUGCAGUGAACAUUCUUGCACAUACCUCUUUGUGCACGAGUGUGAGCAUAAGCAGACACGCACACACAUGACAGGGGUUGUGUAGACUGCAUUACCCAUCUGUAAGCAUUCACUCCACCCCUACUCCAAACUUCACGGGAGGUGUAGGCCUCCCUGCCCCACUGACACCGGGCUUGGCCACAGGACUGGCUCUGCCCAAUGGAAUGGGGGCAGGCGUGAUGGUGGCCAGUUCUGUGCCUAGGCCUUCAGGGGCCUGGAAUGUUUCUGCUUGUCCCUCUUGUGCUUUGGCUAUCACCAGGAGAACAACAUUACCCAGGGAGCUACAGGUCCCAGGAGGACAGGAGACAAGGCCUGGAGCUCAGCCCAGCCAUGCCCAGCCUGGAUCAGCCCCGCCUGCUGAACUGCAGGCAAGUGAGCCAGAAAACAAAUGCUGGUUCUGUGCAGCUGAAAUUUCCAAGUUGUUACACAGUAAAAGUUGCCUGACACAGGAGCGAAAACUGGGAGAGCUUUUAGUAUCUAUCAAAAUGUUUAAUGACAUGCCCUUUGACCCAGUGUCCUAAUUCCAGGUGCUGGGCUACUGGAACACUCCAGCUCGAAACAUGUGAACAAUGAUCUUUAGACCGACUCCCGUGUGGCCUCAGAAGCCUCCAGGGGCCCAUUCCAGCUCUGAACUUGAAAAUGCAUUUGUUAAAAGGAGCCAAAUUGGGAUGAAAUGACUAAGGAAGGUGCCCUUUUGCAGAGCUGUGGAUGGAAAUGUCUUCCAGAUCAGGACGAGGUGCUCUAUUUUCCAGAUUGGUCCCUAGAAGCUUCUUGAUUCUCAGGAUUGUCUUGGUCUGCUGAUCUCAGAGUUAUUUUCACCAAGACUCUGGACCACCGUGAACUCUCAGUGGCCGGUCCCACUCGCUGAUGGGGAAAGAGAAGAAUUCCCCUGUCACCUGGUUAGGAGCCUUUCCCAACUGGGUGAAGAUGUUUCCAAAAUAUUUCUAUGGUAAUUGAUGGAGUUAUUAAGAUUUAUUGAGUAAAUAACGCUCCCAUUCAAAAGAAGCUCAGGCUGAAAGCACAUCUAACUUCCAUAGGUGGGCUUCCUUGUUGCGCAUCAGAAACCCUACCAAUUCCCAUGGUCUCCAUCACAGACUCUGGGACCACCACACUGUCUCGUGGGUAAAGUGACUUCCCUCAUGGCGGAGGCCUCAGAGAGGAGAUGGACGGGGCAGUGGGCUGAGUGGCUUGCUCAGUCUCAGUGUGGAGACAUCCGUCCCAACCCAGGCCAUGCUGGGCUCUGCAUUUCUCCCAGCAUCCCCUUUGAUAGCUGGAUGUCUUGGGGCACAAAGCAGGGUGCUACUCCCUCCUCCAGCAUCUGACCCACACCCACGGGCAUAGCUCUACUUUCGUGAAACAAAUAAACACAAAUCAUCAUCACAAGUCUUGACAUAACUAUUUGAGAGCGUGUGGUGGGAUGAUACAUGUUUUUGCUCCUGGUGUUCCCACCUUGCCCCCUCCUCCAUUCUGCCAGCUGUGCAUCCCCAAGGCGAUGAGUCAACAGAAACUCAGAAGACAGACUGUCAGCUCUCGGCUCUGGAGUUUCAAAACCUUUGGCCUCAGGGGGAUGAGAGGGACUGAGGCAUAAAUAAUGGAUGUGGGAGGAGAGUCGGGGAAGAGGGAAACUUCUGCACCUGCAGAUGGAAAGGAUUCCCCUGGCUGGGGGAAAGGAGAGAGAUGGAGGGGAGGCAGGGCCACGUGGGCACAAGCGGACUCAGCUUCCAGAACCACCCGGCUCCCCGUGGAGGGAGCUCUUCUGUCAUCGGCCAGGGGUGCCAAGGGAGCUCAGUCAGCACCUUCACAUCUGCAGUCUCUUCUUGUGGUCACUGCACACCAUCCCCACAGGAGCUACGUGGGUGUCCUUCCUGUGGAUGGCAGGUGAGGACCUCCUUUUGGGGUGGCCAGCACACUGGCCCAGAGGGGCACCUCCAAUAGUGUCUGAGGGCUUGCCUGUCGCCUAGUGUUUAUCCUAUGUGGAUGCUCCCAUUUCAGUGUCUCAGGACAUGUGUAAACUGUAGGGGUGGGUUAGGGCCCUGGACACCUGCAGGGGUAGAAGUGAUGGAGGAGACAAAGCCGCUCAUCACUCCUGCCCCAUUGGAACUGGCUGAGGUGCACCUGCUGAGGUGGGGCAGGGUGACCCCAUGGCUCUUAGAAGCUCUUUAGCUACAGAAGCUCACAGCGUGUGGAGGGAGGGACGAGAUGGGCUGUGGGCUCAUGCACGUCCCUUAGUUCCAGCUGUAACUCCACUUUUUCUGUUACUGUUUGGAAAUCCUAACUGGGUGAACUGUGAGAGAGAAGCCAUUUCUUCCUUCCUCCCUUGCGGAAGCUCUGGGGACCUGGUCUGUUUUCUCAGCUCUGCCACUUCUCCCCGGGGACUCUCCUCCCCAGCCAGGCUGCCCAAGGGGUGGAGCCUCCCACCAGCCCCUGCCCUGCGCAGCUCCCCACCCCCCACGCAAGUUCACAGCCUUUCCAUUUAAAGAGUUCAUUGCUGCAGGAAACAGAUGGGAGUAACAAAAAUAAUAAACAGUGAGAAUUUCAAAGGUUCCGGAAGCUUCGAGUCAUGGUCUCAGGCCUGUAGUUAAAGACUUCCUUCUGAGAUGGGUCCUGAAAAUGACUGCAGCCAUGGUCACUUGAGCUCCUGGCAUGGCCAGGCAGGUACUGGCAGCAUUGCAGGCUGCCAGCCGCUGGACUGGUCUGGAAUGUCACGGUGGUCCUGCAGAGGGACGGUGUCGUUCCUGCCAUUUCACACAUGUGAAAAUUGAGCUCAGAGAGCAGGAUUUGGCCACGUGAUUUACAGGGCCCACUGCAAAAUGAAAAUGCAGUGCUCUUGUUCAAAAAUUAUUAAGAAUUUCAAGACGAUGACAGCAGAGCGUUAAACCGAGCACGAGCCCUUCGGAUCGCGGGGCCCUGUGUGACCGCGUGGGACAGGGGUUGUGGCAGAGCCAUUAGACAGCUUACCCAAGGACACCAACCAGUGAGAGGCAAACCCAGGUUUCUCUGCAAGGUCGAGCACAGCCUGAAACUGAAUUUUGCCGUCUCCUGUUUACCUGCCGGCAUCUCCACUGCCUCCUUCCCACCCACCACAGCUCCUGGAGGCUUGGCUGUGACCCUUAUUUCUAUGCCUUAAAAAGAACAGUGAAAAGCAGAGCAUGACUUGAAGACACGGACACUACACAAAUCCUGGUGUUGUUCCGAGAAGCCCUUUGGCUUGUGCUAAAACGGGAGCCGAAGACACGAUUGGGCAUUGCCCCAUCGCUAGCCUUCGCCAUUCAAUUAACUUGACAAGGAAACAUUUUUGAGACAGAUGAUUCUCAUUUUCAAUGCCGUUUGAAAGUCCCUGGGGGCAGGAAGAAUAGUCAAGCUUACUCACUUCAGGAAGUGGUGUCUUCACUUGGAUUUAUGUGGACUUUAUUUUAAGGGACCGCAGCGGGCUCAGCCCACGUAGAUGCGCCUCCCUGGUGGGACGAG
rnacentral:lncRNA from 1 species